GCACCCGCGGUAAUUCCAGCACCAAUAGCGUAUAUUAAUGCUGCUGCUGUUAAAAAGCUCGUAGUUGGAUCAAGAGUCGGACAGUGCACGGUGGCCCUCUUUGCCAUUUUGGGUCCUGCUCAAGUUGGCGGGAGCGGAAUCACCCCGUGCAUCAAACUGUCCGCUCUAGCAGGCCGAAACGGUUCCCUGUGAGUAGGCCCCUUCAUUGGGGUCGAAAGCGCCAACGCAUCAACCAUAUGCAUACGGGACGUCGGCCAAGGUUACUGUGAACAAACCAGCGUGUCCAAAGCAGGCCUUCGCCUGAAUGUUCGAGCAUGGAAUAACGAGGGAUCGAUUCUCUCGGUUCUUUUUGUUGGUUUUUAACCCGAGAAGGAGUAAUUCAGUCCACGGUGUCUGAGUUGGGUUCCCCUAGGCUUCGGCUUAGGCCCCAAUUAGGCCGUGUGCUUACGGGAUCAAUAGGGACUGACGGGGUCGUACGUACUUCCGCGUCAGAGGUGAAAUUCUUAGAUCGCGGGAAGACGAACUUCUGCGAAAGCAUUCGACAAGAAUGUCUUCAUUAAUCAAGAACGAGAGUGUGGGGAUCGAAGGUGAUCAGAUACCGUCGUAGUCCACUACUGUAAACAAUGCCGUCUCAGGAUUGAGAAGUGAACUGAAUGACUUUCACAGCACUAACCCCUGAAACGAGAAAUCAAAGAUUAUGGGUUCAGGGGGGAGUACAUUCGCAAGGCUGAAACUUAAAGGAAUUGACGGAAUGACACCACAAGGCGUGGAGUAUGCGGCUUAAUUUGACUCAACACGGGGAAUUUUACUAGGUCAGGACAAUGUAAGGAUUGACAGAUUGAGAGCUCUUUCUCGAUCCAUUGUGUGGUGGUGCAUGGCCGCUCCUGGUUGGUGGAGUGAUUUGUCUGGUUGAUUCCGUUAACGAGCGAGAUCUCGACCCUUAAAUAGGUGCCCGCGUCGCUCGUAGUCUCACUCCGCUGGGCUUGCCCUUCUUGGUUGGGACGAGACUGCGGGAAUACUUCUUAAGGGGACUGUAUGCGUUUAUAGCAUGCGGAAGAGCGAGCCAAUAGCAGGUCUGUGAUGCUCCUAAAUGUCCUAGGCUGCACGCGCACUACACUGAUGCAAUAAACGAGUCUGAGUGCCUUCUGGCAACCUACCUGGAAGCGGGUGGGAAAUCUUUUGAACUUGCAUCGUGAUGAG
rnacentral:rRNA from 1 species